AAUCCCUACGGGAGGCAGCAGUGAGGAAUAUUGGUCAAUGGUCGGGAGACUGAACCAGCCAAGCCGCGUGAGGGAGGAAGGUACAGAGUAUCGUAAACCUCUUUUGUCAGGGAACAAAGGCGGGGACGUGUCCCCGGAUGAGUGUACCUGAAGAAAAAGCAUCGGCUAACUCCGUGCCAGCAGCCGCGGUAAUACGGAGGAUGCGAGCGUUAUCCGGAUUUAUUGGGUUUAAAGGGUGCGUAGGCGGACUGUUAAGUCAGCGGUAAAAGCCCGGGGCUCAACCCCGGCGAGCCGUUGAAACUGGG
rnacentral:rRNA from 1 species